GGCUCUGUAGCUUGGAUGAGAGAAGCACCCAUCUAGCGAAUUGGGAGUCGUGGGUUCGAUUCCCACCGGAGCAC
rnacentral:tRNA from 1 species